rnacentral:lncRNA from 1 species
GUUAGUUGGUUUAUAGAAGUGAUAUCCAAAUGUUAAUUUAAGGAUACCCACAAGAUAAUUCUCAAACAAAUAUUGCUUAUUAGCACACAACCCCAAAUCUUAACAUGAUUAAGAUUUGUUUUUCUUUCCAACUACAUCUUAUGGAGUCAUGAAAAUUUUGGAAGAUCUUCUAAUUGACAAUCAUAUUGUCUUAAAACCAUAUAUCCUAUAUAUGGGUAAUUGAUAACAUCCAACGAACUAAAUCUUAUUCAAGUUCGUUCUUCUCCUAAUGGAGAAAUCCAUUAUCUUUUGAUGCUUCUUUCCUUGAAAUUUUUCAAGGAAACUGUUCUAAAGUGUUAUCUUUCCUUGGAUCAAAUCUAAGGAGGCAAAUACUUUAGACGUCUUACUUAUCAACUUACAUUUCUUGAAUUCUUUGAAACCUUUUGCAAAGUAUUCGGACUUGUGUUUAUUCAAAAUAAAC